CUUUGGAAGAACAAAGCUGAGCAAGAGCAACAAGGAGCCUGGAUGGCCCAACUGUGACUGAAACAAGACCCCUGAACUCCCCAGUCACAAGAGGAAAAUGAGGCUCAGAAGUUAAACGACUUCUGAACCGCAGACAUGAGGGGGUGUCAGCACAUGCAAAAGGCAAAGAAACAUCUUCCAGACUCCGAGGACCUGGCUGAUCCCUGUUCCAAGCUCAGCAAAGUUCUGAUCUUCUAAGAGCCCUGAAUGAGGAUCACCAUAAGCCCAGACACGUGAGCAGAGCCCCAGCUUGGGGCUGUCCUGGGCCUCCAUGGCAGGAGGCCACAGUCUACCUGUGCCCAUGAGGUCCAGGAGCAUAUGGAUGCAGGGGCCCGGGCCUAAGGACCUAAGGACCCUCCCCUUUCAGCCAGGCCUCUACUGGCCGGGUCUCUGGGAUGAAUAGCCAGAUCCAGUCCAAAGCUCUUCUGGCUGAUGUUCCCUUUUCUCAAACCCCUGACUUUCCUGACUGUGGUGGAAAAUAAAAGUCUGACUCUCUA